rnacentral:rRNA from 1 species
UCUUUCUUUUGCUGGCGACCGGCGCACGGGUGAGUAACACGUAUCCAACCUGCCCUUUACUCGGGGAUAGCCUUUCGAAAGAAAGAUUAAUACCCGAUAGCAUAAUGAUUCCGCAUGGUUUCAUUAUUAAAGGAUUCCGGUAAAGGAUGGGGAUGCGUUCCAUUAGGUUGUUGGUGGGGUAACGGCCCACCAAGCCUUCGAUGGAUAGGGGUUCUGAGAGGAAGGUCCCCCACAUUGGAACUGAGACACGGUCCAA